CAGUAAAAACAAACAAACUGAGCAUAAAUCAUCAGUAUUUUGAGCCCGAAUUAUAUUUUUAAAAAUCCGUUUUCACUCUCUGGAUAUAUAUACUAGUCUCAACUUUCUUACAAGCCAGAAGGAGAUCCCUAUAAUAAUAAUGGUCACGGUAUGCGAUAUGGUAUUUCAGCUGCCUAUGGCUCUCCUCUAUGGGUUCUUUUUUUCUUUUGGAUGUAAGGAUUGCUCCGAUCCUUAUACAUAUAGGAACUCAAAAUUCCAGAUUAAUGGGAAGAUCGGCGCAGAAAGAGGAUUAUUCAGAACAGAUGUAGUAUAAAUAUAAACGGGGAUUUUUAGCUGGGUUCAAUUUUAAAUAAAACCGAAUCUUUAAAAUAA